CUCGAUCGCGACCUCUGGGACAAUACAAUUUUCGAUCCAUGUUCAGACCAAUCGGUUGCACUUAUUCCAAUGUUGCGCCAGAUGGUCGUCGGUCAAAACAAGGACGGUUCCGUCGAGGAAACCGUUCUUGUCUUUUGUCACCAAUGCUCGCCGGAAUUCCCGAGUCCACGUUGAGUAGUUCUCGGGGCUAGAUAGUUCUUGGUUUUCUUCGGAGGAUGAGAUAUUUUUUGGCAUGGUAUUGGUAAGAAAGUAAAUUGGUUUCUGUUUAGUGGUUCAAAUGUUGAUUCCUACACCGGAGUGCUAACCUUGUUUUGCA